GCCCCCCUCCCCACACUCUCUGAGGAAAUUCUAACGGGUUUCCACCAGCCUGGGUGAGGCCGCGCUAAGGUUCUCUCAUUUCAAACCACGGAGAGAAUUAGGCACCAAAGGUUUCUUUCCACUUUUCCAAAGACAAGUUCACUUGCAAGACAGAGACGUGACCCAAGCCGAGUCCCCAAACGCCUCGUUGUUGGUGGAGAAGCUUGGCUCGGACGUUAAGAGGCCAUUUUAGGAUCCAUGGGUUUGGGGAAAAUGUUCCCAGGCCGAUGCCUGAGGUUGCCCCAGUUCAACUGCCAACUGUCUCCAGAAUGACUACUUCAGGCCAAGAACACUGAGUGUAUCGUGUGACUUCCCUGGUGGCUCAGAUGGUAAAAGCAGGUGCCUACAAUGCGGGAGACGUGGGUUCGAUCCCAGGGUUGGGAAGAUCCACUGGACAAGGAAAUGGCAACCCACUCCAGUACUCUUGCCUGGAAAAUCUCAUGGAUGGAGGAGCCUUGUAGCCUAC
ensembl:lncRNA